rnacentral:rRNA from 1 species
UACGUAGGGGGCAAGCGUUGUCCGGAAUCAUUGGGCGUAAAGCGCGCGUAGGCGGCCCCGUAAGUCCGCUGUAAAAGUCAAAGGCUCAACCUUUGAAAGCCGGUGGAUACUGUGGGGCUAGAGUCCGGAAGAGGCGAGUGGAAUUCCUGGUGUAGCGGUGGAAUGCGCAGAUAUCAGGAGGAACACCAAUAGCGAAGGCAGCUCGCUGGGACGGUACUGACGCUAAGGCGCGAAAGCGUGGGGAGCGAACAGG